rnacentral:rRNA from 1 species
UACGGAGGGUGCAAACGUUGCUCGGAAUCAUUGGGCGUAAAGCGCACGUAGGCGGCUUGUUAAGUCGGAUGUGAAAGCCCCAGGCUCAACCUGGGAAGUGCAUUCGAAACUGGCGAGCUUGAAUAUGGAAGAGGGUCGCGGAAUUCCCGGUGUAGAGGUGAAAUUCGUAGAUAUCGGGAGGAACACCAGUGGCGAAGGCGGCGACCUGGGCCAAUAUUGACGCUGAGGUGCGAAAGCGUGGGGAGCAAACAGG